UACGUAGGGUGCAAGCGUUAAUCGGAAUUACUGGGCGUAAAGCGUGCGCAGGCGGUGAUGUAAGACAGGGGUGAAAUCCCCGGGCUUAACCUGGGAACUGCAUUUGUGACUGCAUCGCUGGAGUGCGGCAGAGGGGGAUGGAAUUCCGCGUGUAGCAGUGAAAUGCGUAGAUAUGCGGAGGAACACCGAUGGCGAAGGCAAUCCCCUGGGCCUGCGCUGACGCUCAUGCACGAAAGCGUGGGGAGCAAACAGG
rnacentral:rRNA from 1 species